rnacentral:rRNA from 1 species
UACGAGGGAUGCAAGCGUUAUCCGGAAUUAUUGGGCGUAAAGCGUUUGUAGGCGGGCGAGUGUGUUUAAUGUUAAAUCUUAAAGCUCAACUUUGAAAUUGCGUUAAAAACUGCUUGUCUUGAGUAUGGUAGGGGUAAAGGGAAUUCCCAGUGUAGCGGUGAAAUGCGUAGAUAUUGGGAAGAACACUAAACAGCGAAGGCACUUUACUAGGCUAAUACUGACGCUGAGAAACGAAAGGUAAGGUAGCGAAACGGAUUAGAUACCCGUGUAGUCUUACCCGUAAACUAUGGACACUAAACGGUAAAUUUUUAAUUUACUGUUAAAGCUAACGCGUUAAGUGUCCCGCCUGGGGAGUAUGCUUGCAAAAGUGAAACUCAAAGGAAUUGACGGGGGCCCGCACAAGCGGUGGAGCAUGUGGUUUAAUUCGACGGUACACGAAGAACCUUACCAGGAUUUGACAUGCUAGAUAGUUGCUUGAAAGAGUAACGUGCCGUAAGGAAUCUAGACACAGGUGGUGCAUGGCUGUCGUCAGUUCGUGUUGUGAAAUGUUGGGUUAAGUCCCGCAACGAACGCAACCCUUGUCUUUAGUUAUUUUCUAAAGAGACUGCCUGUAAUAAACAGGAGGAAGGUAAGGAUGAGGUCAAGUCAUCAUGCCCCUUAUGUCCUGGGCUACACACGUGCUACAAUGGGAAAGACAAUGAGCUGCAAAUCUGUAAAUUUAAGCAAAUCUCUUAAACUUUCUCGUAGUUCGGAUUGUGGGCUGCAACUCGCCCACAUGAAGUUGGAAUCGCUAGUAAUCGCCAGUCAGCUAUACGGCGGUGAAUCCGUUCCCGGGCCU